rnacentral:rRNA from 1 species
UACGGGGGGAGCAAGCGUUGUUCGGAUUUACUGGGCGUAAAGGGCGCGUAGGCGGCACCGCAUGUCGACUGUGAAAUCUCCGGGCUUAACCCGGAAAGGUCAGCCGAUACUGCGGGGCUAGAGUGCAGAAGGGGCAACUGGAAUUCUCGGUGUAGCGGUGAAAUGCGUAGAUAUCGAGAGGAACACCUGCGGCGAAGGCGGGUUGCUGGGCUGACACUGACGCUGAUGCGCGAAAGCUAGGGGAGCGAACGGG